rnacentral:rRNA from 1 species
UACAGAGGUCUCAAGCGUUGUUCGGAAUUAUUGGGCGUAAAGGGCGCGUAGGCGGCCAUGCGUGUCUUCCGUGAAAUCCCUCGGCUUAACUGAGGACGUGCGGAAGAAACUGCAAGGCUCGAGUCCGGGAGAGGGGGGUGGAAUUCCCAGUGUAGCGGUGAAAUGCGUAGAUAUUGGGAGGAACACCGGUGGCGAAGGCGGCCCCCUGGACCGGUACUGACGCUGAGGCGCGAAAGCGUGGGUAGCAAACGGG